GCGUGUAAAAUUUAAACUAAGCCCUUUCAAAACUCCUCCAAUCUCCGCCACCAAGUGUCGCCAGGUCACUAUAUCUUGCUGUGAUCUUUUCAAAUUGAGAAAAUUUAUGUAGGUACGAGGACUUGCAAAACAAGUCAUUCUUGUUGUUUUGAUGCUUGUAGUCAGACGAUAGUAAAAACGGUAGAGAAGUUGAUAGCGUUGAAUUACUUGAAGAUCGGAGAAUUUUCUUUAUGAAACGUUUAAUAAUUUGUCAAUAAACAAUCGUUUACAAAA